AAGCUCACCAUCUCAGCUAUGAAUCUGAUCUCAGAACUGUACUCGUGUCUCUCAUGGCUGAGGCUCUUCAACACUCUCCUUCCUGUCAAAAAUGCUCACCUGUACUCUAUGAAAAGAAAAGACAAGGCAAAGACUGGACUUGGGAUAUUCAUCAGAAACAAAUGCAACGCA